rnacentral:rRNA from 1 species
AACACAUGCAAGUCGAGGGGCAGCGGGGGGAGUGCUUGCACUCCCCGCCGGCGACCGGCGCACGGGUGAGUAACACGUAUGCAACCUGCCCUCCGCAGGUGGAUAACCCGGAGAAAUCCGGACUAAUACAGCAUGACGCGCCCCGGGGACAUCCCCGGGGCGCCAAAGGAGGCGACUCCGGCGGAGGAUGGGCAUGCGGCGCAUUAGCCAGUCGGCGGGGUAACGGCCCACCGAGGCGACGAUGCGUAGGGGUUCUGAGAGGAAGGUCCCCCACACUGGUACUGAGACACGGACCAGACUCCUACGGGAGGCAGCAGUGAGGAAUAUUGGUCAAUGGGCGCGAGCCUGAACCAGCCAAGUCGCGUGAGGGAAGACGGUCCUUAGGAUUGUAAACCUCUUUAGGCAGGGAGCAACGGCCGGCACGUGUGCCGGAGACGAGGGUACCUGCAGAAUAAGCAUCGGCUAACUCCGUGCCAGCAGCCGCGGUAAUACGGAGGAUGCGAGCGUUAUCCGGAUUUAUUGGGUUUAAAGGGUGCGCAGGCGGGCCGGAAAGUCAGCGGUAAAAUUGCGGUGCUCAACGCCGUACAGCCGUUGAAACUGCCGGUCUUGAGUGGACGAGAAGUAUGCGGAAUGCGUGGUGUAGCGGUGAAAUGCAUAGAU